CACGUAGGGGACGAGCGUUGUCCGGAAUCAUUGGGCGUAAAGGGCGCGUAGGCGGUUUGCACAGUCAGACGUGAAAUUCCUGGGCUUAACCUGGGGGCUGCGUUUGAUACGUGCAGGCUUGAGUUCGGAAGAGGGUCGUGGAAUUCCCCAGUGUAGAGGUGAAAUUCGUAGAUAUUGGGAAGGACACCGGUGGCGAAGGCGGCGACCUGGUCCGAUACUGACGCUGGAGGCGACGAAGGCGUGGGGAGCAAACAGG
rnacentral:rRNA from 1 species